rnacentral:rRNA from 1 species
AGUGAACGCUGGCGGUAGGCCUAACACAUGCAAGUCGAACGGCAGCACAGUAAGAGCUUGCUCUUACGGGUGGCGAGUGGCGGACGGGUGAGGAAUACAUCGGAAUCUACUUUUUCGUGGGGGAUAACGUAGGGAAACUUACGCUAAUACCACAUACGACCUACGGGUGAAAGCAGGGGAUCUUCGGACCUUGCGCGAUUGAAUGAGCCGAUGUCGGAUUAGCUAGUUGGCGGGGUAAAGGCCCACCAAGGCGACGAUCCGUAGCUGGUCUGAGAGGAUGAUCAGCCACACUGGAACUGAGACACGGUCCAGACUCCUACGGGAGGCAGCAGUGGGGAAUAUUGGACAAUGGGCGCAAGCCUGAUCCAGCCAUACCACGUGGGUGAAGAAGGCCUUCGGGUUGUAAAGCCCUUUUGUUGGGAAAGAAAAGCAGCAGGUUAAUACCCCGCUGUUCUGACGGUACCCAAAGAAUAAGCACCGGCUAACUUCGUG